CAUAUCCAGUUGAAGAACAAUAAACAAUGCGGGCCUGACAGCUGGAGAGUAUUACGAUUUCCGAUCUCAUUAUUAUAUUAUCCAUGUAUAAUUUGUGAUUAUUUUUGUAUUCGCGCGUGUGUGUGUGUUUGUAUGAUUUUUAUAAGAGUUCAAUGUCAUUGGUAAGCAGUUGAGUGUGGGCCACGGAUACCAUUUGUCAUUUUCAAUGCGCAAUUCUCUGUGCUGUGAUUCCCUAUCUCAAUACGGACUAUAUUUCCUGUGUGUAAUUCGUGAUCAUUAUUAUUGUAUUUGCGUGUGUGUAUAUACAUAUGUCCAUGAUUUCUAAGCAUUUAAUGUCAUUGGUAAGGAGUUGGGUGUGAGCCACGCAAGCCGUUUGUCAUUUGUCAUGCGCAAUAUUCUCUGGGCACCUGUUAGUUCCACGUCAGGUUCGAGCCUCGAGGCGAGCUAAGAGACAACGUGGUGAAAGGAGAGCGACCUAAGGAAUGAUUCUAAUCGUCACAGCCUCACAGGUCCAAAGAAGAAGCAGCUUCUUUUGGAGAGAGUGACAGUGGCCACGUUACCAUGGAUCUUGUACUUGUCUAACGGCUCCACUGGCGACGGCGAGCCUUGGUUUCGGGGAAAGAUAGCAGUACUGAGGGUGGUCAACGUCCUUGGAGGGCACGCGACCAUGUUGGGUGUCCUCCCUCGUCCAUAUUAAUUAUAUUCUCUUCCCAGUAACUGCCUGCCCUGCCAUGGUUGGAUGGUGUGGUGCUGCCGAUGUUGAUCUGAUUUCCUUGGUAGACACUGACAUCCCUCAGACAGCCAGAAGUGCUGCCAGGUUGGUGAGAAAGGAGGGUGUAGGGGUGAGACCUUCCUCCUGCAUUGAGGUCCACAGGGAUAGCCCCUUCUCGCCCUCACUCUUCACGUCUGCACCAAAGAUUAGAGGCUGGAGCACUUAAGUCUGAUUACUGUGAUCCAAAUUGCAGUACCUCUCAGAAUGUUUAAAGAAGUAAAACUUACGGUAGAUAUUGAGGAGGCAUUCGUACAUCGCCUGGCGGUCAGCAUUGGGCAUUCCCCGUGAGGCAGUGAGCAGGUGCAACACAGCUUCUUCAUUCUCUGUCUUGACAUAAUACUGCAGCUGUCGAGUCAGC